UAUUGCUCUUGAACGAGGAAUCCCUAGUAAGUACAAGUCACUAGCUUGUGCUGAUUACGUCCCUGCCCUUUGUACACACCGCCCGUCGCUACUACCGAUUGAAUGGCUUAGUGAGGCCUUCGGAUUGAAAUUCGGAGACUGGCAACAGACUCUUGGUUUUGAAAAGUUGGACAAACUUGGUCAUUUAGAGGAAGUAAAAGUCGUAACAAGGUUUCCGUAGGUGAACCUGCGGAAGGAUCAUUACCGAUAUGAAGAGUGAUGCUAGUGAGGAGAAAGUAGCGCGAUAUUAAGAUAAAUUGUGAGAUAGCAGAAAUUCCUUGAUUACAUUCAAAAUUCUGGAAUCGCCAAAUUGCACUCUCUCUAGUUAACCCCGGGGGAGGUAUGCCUGUUUGAGGGGUCAAAGGUUAAUAAAAAAAUCGGGUGGCGUGCAAUUUUUUGUGAUGUCCCGGGGAGUUUGGAGUAUUCUUAUCUUCUUGGGUUUAAGAGGCUUAAAAAAUUGGCCUUUCUUUGUUGCAUUUUAGACGGUACAAUAAAAUUUUUUUUUAUUCGUUUUAUCGUAAAUGCCAAAAUCUAUUAGAUGCCGACCCAUAUCGUGUGGUUCCCGUGGUCUAUAAAAUUUUUCAUGAUUGGACCUCAAAUCAAGGUAGGGAACACCCCGCUGAACUUAAGCAUAUCAAAUAAGGCGGAGGAAAAGAAAAUAACAAUGAUUCCCCUAGUAACUGCGAGUGAAGAGGGACAAGCUCAAAUUUUAAAUCUAUCGGGUUUUACCUGAUCGAGUUGUAAUUUGAAGAAGCGUUUUUCUGCGUAUUUGGUCAGCCUAAGUCCUAUUGAAUGAGGCAUCAUGGAGGGUGAUAAUCCCGUCCGGUUGAUCAUUUGCGUUUUACGAUACGCUUUCUAAGAGUCAAGUUGUUUGGGAUUGCAGCUUAAAAUGGGAGGUAAAUUUCUCCUAAGGCUAAAUAACGGCGAGAGACCGAUAGCGAACAAGUACCGUGAGGGAAAGAUGAAAAGAACUUUGAAAAGAGAGUUAAACAGUACGUGAAAUUGUUGAAAGGGAAACGAUUGAAGCCAGUCGUACCUUCGGGUAAUCAGCCUUUCGGGUGCGAUUCUGUGGAGUGUGAGGAGCUUAAACACCUUCAUGUUUUGCAUAUUCGUACUCUUGGGUGUACUUGCCCGUGUGGUUGGUUAACAUCAAUUUUGGUGGUCAUAAAAUGACUGGGGGAAUGUAGCUUCGAUCUUGUAUUGAAGUGUUAUAGCCUUCGGUAGAUGUGAUGAUCGAGAUUGAGGAUUGCAACGGAUACCCUUCGGGGCUACCUGUCUGGUCUCUGAUCGUUGCUCUGGUGCCGAAAGCUUGCUUACGGUUAUCAAAGUCGAUGGUCAAUAGGUUAGAACGGGUUAAAUUCGUUAAGGAUGUUGACGUAAUGGCUUUAAACGACCCGUCUUGAAACACGGACCAAGGAGUCUAACAUAUAUGCGAGUGUUC
rnacentral:rRNA from 1 species